UUAAACGGCCGCGGUAUCCUGACCGUGCUAAGGUAGCAUAAUCCUUUGCCUCUUAAUUAGUGGCUAGAAUGAAUGGACAAACGAAAAUUAUGCUGUCUCGAUAAAUUCCCUAAAAACUAUCCUUCAAGUGAAGAGACUUGAAUUAAAAUAAAAGACAAGAAGACCCUGUAGAGCCUCAAUUUAUAUUAAACCCAAAAGUAAAAUACAUUAAAUCUUUAAUACCAUUUUAGUUGGGGCGACUAAGGACCAUCAAAACCCUCCUUCAUACAAAAGGCUUAUAAGCCUAAAUAAUGACCCAUUACAUGACCAAAAAACAAGGCUACCUCAGGGAUAACAGUCUAAUCUUCCUCAAGAGCCCAUAUUGACAGGAAGGAUUGGCACCUCGAUGUUGGCUUAGGGUCCCUGCAGGGUGCAGCAACCCUGACAGUAAGUUUGUUCAACUUUUAAAACCCUACGUGAUU
rnacentral:rRNA from 1 species